rnacentral:rRNA from 1 species
CCGACGGCGGGGCGGCGGAAAAGCGGGGGGAAAACCGGGAUUUAAACCCCUGGUUAGUCCCCCCCCAAACGAUUGCUAGGUGUUGGGGGGUUCAAUACCCUCAGUGCCGCAGCUAACGCAAUAAGCACUCCGCCGGGGAGUACGCUCGCAAGAGUGAAACAAAGGAAUUGACGGGGGCCCGCACAAGCGGGGAGCAUGUGGUUUAAUUCGAAGCAACGCGAAGAACCUUACCAGGUCUUGACAUCCCGCUGACCGCUCUGGAGACAGAGCUUCCCUUCGGGGCAGCGGUGACAGGUGGUGCAUGGUUGUCGUCAGCUCGUGUCGUGAGAUGUUGGGUUAAGUCCCGCAACGAGCGCAACCCUUAUCUUUAGUUGCCAGCAUUCAGUUGGGCACUCUAGAGAGACUGCCGUCGACAAGACGGAGGAAGGCGGGGAUGACGUCAAAUCAUCAUGCCCCUUAUGACCUGGGCUACACACGUGCUACAAUGGUUGGUACAACGGGAUGCUACCUCGCGAGAGGACGCCAAUCUCUUAAAACCAAUCUCAGUUCGGAUUGUAGGCUGCAACUCGCCUACAUGAAGUCGGAAUCGCUAGUAAUCGCGGAUCAGCAUGCCGCGGUGAAUACGUUCCCGGGCCUUGUACACACCGCCCGUCACACCACGGGAGUUUGCAACACCCGAAGUCGGUGAGGUAACCGCAAGGAGCCAGCCGCCGAAGGGGG